CCUACGGGAGGCAGCAGUGAGGAAUAUUGGUCAAUGGGCGAGAGCCUGAACCAGCCAAGUCGCGUGAGGGAGUACUGCCCUAUGGGUUGUAAACCUCUUUUGUCGGGGAGCAAAAGCCGGACGUGUCCGGCUGUGAGAGUACCCGAAGAAAAAGCAUCGGCUAACUCCGUGCCAGCAGCCGCGGUAAUACGGAGGAUGCGAGCGUUAUCCGGAUUUAUUGGGUUUAAAGGGUGCGCAGGCGGAGUUUUAAGUCAGCGGUCAAAUCGUGGGGCUCAACCCCAUCCAGCCGUUGAAACUGGGGGUCUAGAGUGUGCGCGAGGUAUGCGGAAUGCGUGGUGUAGCGGUGAAAUGCAUAGAUAUCACGCAGAACCCCGAUUGCGAAGGCAGCAUACCGGUGCACAACUGACGCUCAGGCACGAAAGCGUGGGUAUCGAACAGGAUUAGAUACCCUUGUAGUC
rnacentral:rRNA from 1 species